CGCGUAGGCGGGCCUUCAAGUCGGAUGUGAAAACUAUCGGCUCAACUGAUAGCCUGCAUCCGAUACUGUUGGUCUUGAGUACGGAAGAGGAGAGCGGAAUUCCAGGUGUAGCGGUGAAAUGCGUAGAUAUCUGGAAGAACACCAGUAGCGAAGGCGGCUCUCUGGUCCGAUACUGACGCUCAAGCGCGAAGGCUAGGGGAGCAAACA
rnacentral:rRNA from 1 species